GUCUAUGGCCAUGCUACCCUGAAUAAGCCGAAUCCCGUCUGAUCUUGGAAUCUAAGCAGGGUUGGGUCUGGUUAGUACUUGGAUGGGAUACCACCUAGGAAGACCAGGUGCUGUAGGCA
rnacentral:rRNA from 1 species